GCCCGUCAGAGGAGUAAGAGGUCCUGACCCUUUCCUCCGGUGGAAGGCGGCCUUCCAGCACGACAUGGUGGACCCGCGUGACGGGAAAGUUGUGGACUCAGCCUCGGCACCCAUCAGCUGACAAGCAGAUAAAGAAAACCUGCUAUAGGCCACCCAGCUUCUCUGGGAUCUCACUUGCCUAUGCUGCCAGGUUUGCUAACAAGAUCACCUGCCCUGCUACUGAGGAAUCCCUUCACUGGUGUCAGAAACCCGCUUCUUCAGGAUUACAACAAAGACUGAAGACCAGCACGCUCUCUUGGAAUCCUCUGGGAUUCCAGAAACGCAUGGGUUUUUGGCCUCUCCAUCAGGAGACAUCCAUCGUUGAACUAGCCAGACCACAGCCUAUCUCCAGGAGACACCAGAAGUAUGCAAGAGUCACAGAAUCAAUUCUCUCUCUCACAGCCCUCAUAAGAAAUCAGCCCUGCAGAUGCCUUAGCCCUAACUCUGCAAAACUCUGAGAUGAUGAAGUCUGCUGUGGGAGUGAGCCAUGCGGCUAACAUGCUUUGCAAUAGUGUUUCUUGCAGACUAACCCACCAUAUAGAUGAAUGUCGUUCAUGUAAUAAUACUUAAAUUAUGAGUUUUAUUUGAUGGUAAUGUUGCCUUCAUCUAUGAGCAUUCCUCAGAAAAUGGGUCUUUUAUUUCCUACUUUACAAAUAACUAUAAUGAGUAUUUAACUCUCCACACAUUUCUCAUUUUGUGCAUCCUUCUGGAUGUGUCCUAAUAAGUAAAAAUCCUUUGUCUAA